UACGGAAGGCAGCAGUGGGGAAUAUUGCACAAUGGGCGAAAGCCUGAUGCAGCUAUGCCGCGUGUAUGAAGAAGGCCUUAGGGUUGUAAAGUACUUUCAUCGGGGAGGAAAAAACAAAACUAAUAAUUUUAUUUCUUGACGUUACCCGAAAAAGAAGCACCGGCUAACUCCGUGCCAGCAGCCGCGGUAAUACGGAGGGUGCUAGCGUUAAUCAGAAUUACUGGGCGUAAAGAGCACGUAGGUGGUUUUUUUAAGUCAGAUGUGAAAUCCCUGGGCUUAACCUGGAACUGCAUUUUGAAACUGAAAUACUAGAGUAUCGUAGAGGGAGGUAGAAUUCUAGGUGUAGCGGUGAAAUGCGUAGAUAUCUGGAGGAAUACCUGUGGCGAAAGCGGCCUCCUAAACGAAUACUGACACUGAGGUGCGAAAGCGUUGGGGAGCAAACAGGGUUUAGAUACC
rnacentral:rRNA from 1 species